rnacentral:tRNA from 1 species
UCCCUGGUGGCUCAGUUGGUAAAGAAUCUGCUUGCAAUGCAGGAGACCUAGGUUCAAUCCCUGGGUUGGGAA